AUAUACUAAAAACAUAUACUAAAAAUUGGAACGAUACAGAGAAGCUUAGCAAGGCCCCGCAAGGAUGACACGCAAAUGAAGCGUUACAUAUUUUU
ensembl:snRNA U6 U6 spliceosomal RNA